rnacentral:rRNA from 1 species
CGCCUGGGGAGUGCGGCCGCAAGGUUAAAACUCAAAUGAAUUGACGGGGGCCCGCACAAGCGGUGGAGCAUGUGGUUUAAUUCGACGCAACGCGAAGAACCUUACCUGGCCUUGACAUCCAGAGAGCUUUCCAGAGAUGGAUUGGUGCCUUCGGGAACUCUGAGACAGGUGCUGCAUGGCCGUCGUCAGCUCGUGUCGUGAGAUGUUGGGUUAAGUCCCGUAACGAGCGCAACCCCUAUCCCUGGUUGCUAGCAGGUAAUGCUGAGAACUCCAGGGAGACUGCCGGUGACAAACCGGAGGAAGGUGGGGAUGACGUCAGGUCAUCAUGGCCCUUACGGCCAGGGCUACACACGUGCUACAAUGGCGCGUACAGAGGGCUGCCAACUCGCGAGAGUGAGCCAAUCCCUUAAAACGCGUCGUAGUCCGGAUCGGAGUCUGCAACUCGACUCCGUGAAGUCGGAAUCGCUAGUAAUCGCGAAUCAGAAUGUCGCGGUGAAUACGUUCCCGGGCCUUGUACACACCGCCCGUCACACCAUGGGAGUGGAUUGCACCAGAAGUAGUUAGUCUAACCUUCGGGAGGACGAUUACCACGGUGUGGUUCAUGACUGGGGGUGAAGUCGUAACAAGGUAACCGUA